rnacentral:rRNA from 1 species
UACGAAGGGUGCAAGCGUUACUCGGAAUUACUGGGCGUAAAGCGUGCGUAGGUGGUUCGUUGUGUCUGUGGUGAAAGCCCCGGGCUUAACCUGGGAAUGGCCAUGGAAACUGGCGAGCUGGAGUGUGGCAGAGGGGGGUGGAAUUCCGCGUGUAGCAGUGAAAUGCGUAGAUAUCUGGAGGAACACCGGUGGCGAAGGCGGCAUCCUGGACCGAGAUUGACGCUGAGGCGCGAAAGCCAGGGGAGCAAACGGG